rnacentral:rRNA from 1 species
UACGUAGGGGGCAAGCGUUGUCCGGAUUCAUUGGGCGUAAAGAGCGUGUAGGCGGCCAGGUAGGUCUGCUGUGAAAACUCGAGGCUUAACCUCGAGAUGUCGGCGGAAACCAUCUGGCUAGAGUCCGGAAGAGGAGAGUGGAAUUCCUGGUGUAGCGGUGAAAUGCGCAGAUAUCAGGAAGAACACCCGUGGCGAAGGCGGCUCUCUGGGACGGUACUGACGCUGAGACGCGAAAGCGUGGGGAGCGAACAGG